GACGAACGCUGGCGGCGUGCUUAACACAUGCAAGUCGAACGAUGAAGUUCCUUCGGGAAUGGAUUAGUGGCGAACGGGUGAGGAACACGUGAGAAACCUGCCUUUCAUUUUGGGAUAACUCCGGGAAACCGGGGCUAAAACCGAAUACUCCGUCUCGGCGGCAUCGCUGAGCCGGGAAAAAAUUUUGACGAAAGAUGGUCUCGCGGCCUAUCAGCUAGUUGGCGAGGUAAUGGCUCACCAAGGCAACGACGGGUAGCCGGCCUGAGAGGGCGACCGGCCACACUGGGACUGAGACACGGCCCAGACUCCUACGGGAGGCAGCAGUGGGGAAUAUUGGGCAAUGGGCGCAAGCCUGACCCAGCGACGCCGCGUGAGGGAUGAAGGCCUUCGGGUUGUAAACCUCUUUCAGUAGGGAAGAAGCGAAAGUGACGGUACCUAAAGAAGAAGCACCGGCUAACUAUGUGCCAGCCGCCGCGGUAA
rnacentral:rRNA from 1 species